GUGACUUUCUAUCUGUGUGACUGCCUGCCUGUGUGUGUAUAACUGUCUAUGUGUGUGUUACUGUGUGUCUGUCUGUGUGUGUGACUGCCUAUGUGACUGUCUGUCUGUGUGUGUCGCUGUAGCUGUGCCAUUGUUUGUGCCUGUGCCUGCCUGUAUGUGUGACUGCCUUUAACUGAGUGUGUGUGUACAUGCCUGUAACCGAGUUUAAAUUUCCCCCACCCCUUCCUGUCAAGGCCGCACUUUGACUGACAGACGCUCACUCACUGACAGAUGCACACUCACUGACGACACAUACACACUCACUGACUGACACAUACACACUCACUGACU